rnacentral:rRNA from 1 species
UACGUAGGGUGCAAGCGUUGUCCGGAAUUAUUGGGCGUAAAGAGCUCGUAGGCGGUGUGUCGCGUCGGCCGUGAAAACCUGCAGCUUAACUGUGGGCUUGCGGUCGAUACGGGCAUCACUGGAGUUCGGCAGGGGAGACUGGAAUUCCUGGUGUAGCGGUGAAAUGCGCAGAUAUCAGGAGGAACACCGGUGGCGAAGGCGGGUCUCUGGGCCGAUACUGACGCUGAGGAGCGAAAGCGUGGGGAGCGAACAGGA